UAAAAGAAGUGUUGAGGUUACACCCUCCGCUUCCAUUGUUGCUUCCGCAUGAGUCGAUGCAGGACUCGGUCGUACAAGGAUACCGAGUUCCAAGCAAAACUAGGGUUCUCAUAAACACAUGGGCGAUAGGCCGGGACCCAAAACUCUGGGAAGAGCCGGAGGAGUUCCGACCUGAGAGGUUCCUUGAUAGUACGGUCGAUUUCAG
rnacentral:misc_RNA from 1 species